rnacentral:rRNA from 1 species
AGAGUUUGAUCAUGGCUCAGGAUGAACGCUAGCUACAGGCUUAACACAUGCAAGUCGAGGGGCAGCAUGUUGGUUGCUUGCAACCAAUGAUGGCGACCGGCGCACGGGUGAGUAACGCGUAUCCAACCUACCCUUGUCCAUCGGAUAACCCGUCGAAAGGCGGCCUAACACGAUAUGCGGUUCUCAGCAGGCAUCUAACGAGAACGAAAUGUGAAGGAGAAGGAUGGGGAUGCGUCUGAUUAGCUUGUGGCGGGUAACGCCACAGGCGACGAUCAGUAGGGGUUCUGAGAGGAAGGUCCCCCANAUUGGAACUGAGACACGGUCAAACUCUACGGGAGCA